GACGAACGCUGGCGGCGUGCUUAACACAUGCAAGUCGAACGGAAAGGCCCUGCUUUUGUGGGGUGCUCGAGUGGCGAACGGGUGAGUAACACGUGAGUAACCUGCCCUUGACUUUGGGAUAACUUCAGGAAACUGGGGCUAAUACCGGAUAGGAGCUCCUGCUGCAUGGUGGGGGUUGGAAAGUUUCGGCGGUUGGGGAUGGACUCGCGGCUUAUCAGCUUGUUGGUGGGGUAGUGGCUUACCAAGGCUUUGACGGCUAGCCGGCCUGAGAGGGUGACCGGCCACAGUGGGACUGGGAUACGGCCCAGACUCCUACGUGAGGCAGCAGUGGGGAAUAUUGCGCAAUGGGCGGAGGCCGGAUGCAGCAACGCCGCGUGCGGGAUGACGGCCUUCGGGUUGGAAACCGCUUUCGCCUGUGACGAAGCGUGAGUGACGGUAAUGGGUAAAGAAGCACCGGCUAACUACGU
rnacentral:rRNA from 1 species